UAAAAAAUAAAAUUUAAUUGCCAAAUUGUAAACAAUCAAAUAUUUUAUAUAAGGAAUGAAAUAGUCAAACAUUAUUAACAUUUUUUUUAAAACUUGAAAUUUUUCAAAGAUUUUACUAAGAUACCCUCUAGACAUCUUAUAUAAAUGAACCAGAAACGAUUGUUUGCUAUAACUUUGAUCAUGAUGGCAUUAUUAAGUACUAUGGUUAAAGCCCACAUUGAUCAAGAAAAUCAGCCGGGAAAAGGAAAGCGACAAUGCCCUGUUGUGAGAUGCGAUUCAUAUUGUCGUAGAGUCAUGAAGGACAAUGGAUGCUAUUACUGCGACUGCUCAAGGACGCCACAACAACAUAACAAUAAAUUUUAAUAAAUUAUUUAAGUAUAAAAUUUGUGCUAAAAAAUAUGUUUAUACCAUUUUUCCCAUUCAUUUGUUUUUUAUUAUAAAUUUUAAAAGUACAAUAUGAUUAUUAAAAAUAAUUAUUUGUGAAAAUCCGAAUUUAAGUAGCUAUUAAAUAUAUUAUUUUAUUUCUAAAAAUUAUGUUGGCGCUGAAAUUAUAAGUGACAUUGCUAAAAAGUGAUUAUAUUAUUUCUAAUAAAUUUGACAAAUUAUC